CAACUGGAUAAUGUAACUUAUUGUAUAAUGUUCUUUGAAUAUUGGAGAGUUUAUUUUACAUUAUGUCAUUGAUGAAUAGAUAUUGUUUGCAUCUGCUUUCUGCUGCAGAAUGAAUUGGAAUCUAACAAGCUUUGAUCCACAGAACAGACAAUUUGGGUUUUUGUUUUUUUGCUAAUUCAUCAUUCUACUGCAGCUCAUUCUGUUCUGGAAACUUUCUCAGCCUCAACAACAGAUUGUUAGAGAAUUGAUUGGUGAGAACACUCAAUUCUUAGCAGAGCUCUGUUUGUUGAACACUUUACAUAUAUGAUAAUUUGAGUCUGAUUUUAAGCUUUAUGCAUGAACUUUGCAGAAUAAUUUGUUUGUAAAUUUGCUCUCUUUGUCAAACAUUGUUUCUUACAAUGAUGCAAAAUAUUCCCAAGGGCAUUUCUAAUGGAAAUUAAUAAUUUAGUCUCAAAUAAUUAAUAAUUUAGUCUCAAAUAAUAAUUCAUUAUUUCUUUUCAAUUAGGUCUGAAAGUGAGUGGUUCUAUCCAAGCAGCACCAAGGGAAUUUAAACCUUUCAAAACUGAUGUUCUGUAUAUCCUUGGUUUACCUUGCGUCAAAUAAAUUUGGUCAUAAUACACGUCUUUCCAUUUUUACAUUUUCACCAAAUUCAGAUGACAUUUAAAGCUCGAACAUAGUCAUUAUCAACAACUGGCAAUUUGGUUUUUUCCUGGGACUUUGCAUAGUAAUCGCAAACUACCGCUUUGCAGUGCUUUACAGCCCUCUCAUAGCAGUUUACAGAGUCAACAUAUUGCUCGCAACAAUCUGGGUCCUCAUUUUAUUGACCUUGGAAGGAUGGAAGGCUGAGUCAACCUUGAGCUGAUCAGGAUUGAACUACUGACAGUGAGCAGACUUAGCCUGCAAUACUGCAUUCUAACCACUGUGUCACCAGGGCUCUAUCACAUAGUAUAUUGCAUAGUAUAUGACUAGGAAUUCUUACUGAUGGAAUCUGAUAGGGAGUCACUGCAGUCCCUUUGUGCAGUUUUAGAAUUCCAGGAAUACUUGAUGCUUGCUGGGAUAUGACUAAGUGCUCUUUAUUUUUGAAAGAGAGAGAGAGGAGAUUGCAUUAUAGUUUAAUCAAAUCAUGUCUCACAGACUAACUGAUGUAUUGUGGCAUCAUAAUUUGUAGAUAAAUGCCAUCUUCAUCACACAUCUAAAAUGGAUUAAUACCAAGUGUGAGGUUGAUUCCAAAAGACUUUUUAAUUGUCAAAUAUUACCUUUAUUAUUUUAAAAUGAAUUGCAUAUUGAGGGAUUGCUGCUGUAAUAUUUUGCUUCUGUGAGCAUCUAGUACAAAAAUAGGCUUUUUAAAAUAGCAAAUCAGUGCAAUCUGAACAGACUGGCUAAUAGCAGAACAAUGGGUUUACUAAUAAUAGUAAGAAAGUGUAGGCAGCAACAAGGAAAAGGUAAAAUCAGUACAACCCUCAAAGAUUCUCUUCAUUCCCUUCUCAUGCCCUUCCUCCUUGUUUUUAAAAAUGAGGAAUUAUUCAACAGUUAAAAGGACUUUUCUUUAACAGUGCAACUGUCUCAAAGCCAAAGUGAGGAGAUGAAAAGGUUUUUUUUAAAAAAAAAAAGACUGAGAGCUCUUCCUUGUGACUACAUUAAUGUGCAUUUCUCUAAUCUAUGACUUGGAAGAAAAGUAGGCUGCAUAAAUUGCACUCCCCUGACAGCCAACCUCUUUUCUGUUUCAUUGAAAAACUCAGUGGACUAAUUGCCAUACAGUUUUAAUGGAAAACAAAGUAAGGAAAGUGAUGAGUGGAGUCUCCAGAUUUUUUUUUUCCUCUGCCACACAAUGUCACCUGCCAGUAGGAAACUCAGUCAUUGAUCACUCUUCUUAAACAUGAAUUCCUUCAAAUGGCUAGAUUCAUAGAUUUAGCCCUCUGUAAGAACCUGGCACUGAAAUAGUGAUACACUGGGUGAAAAGGGACUGCAUGAUAAAGCAGGAUUUCCUACUUCACCAGGCAGCCUCUCAGAUCAUCUACAGAUCAAAGGCCUGGAAAGCCAAGAUGGUUUUGACCCAUUUAAAGCAAUUUCUUUCAAAAAUAAACUGAUUUGUAAAGAUACUCAUUUUUCUCACACGUUCUUAUAGAGCUAGUUGGUAAAUUUCUCAGCUUUCCUGAAACAAAAAGAAAUGGAAGAGAGAGCCAGAGACCAGGGAGGAGAAACUUGCUAGCAAAGUACCUAACAGAAAUUGGGCAGGUCCUGUCCCUUGAUUGUGUCUGCACUGGCACAAUUAAUUAUGUGUUGUGCUCUUCUAUCCAUGGCAAGACCUGUGCUAGGGGAAAAGAAAAAAAUACUAUUUUUAAAAUGGAGCAACUAAAGACAAAUUUAAAUUCCUUUAAUGGUGGGCUGACCAUAAGAUGAAGGUAACAAGGUGAGGACAUUUCUUUUAAAUAUUUAGUAAUCUUUGUGCCAUAGUUAAAGAGAUGUGAGGAUUAGCUUUUAGUCAUCCUUGUAGUUUUAUAUAAAAAUUAUACUACAUCAGUGUACUGGCAGUGAUAAUUAGUUCAGUCUAAUUAAUCAUGUUUUAAUAGAACAGAAAUAAAUCAUUUCCGCUCACCCUCUUGUUCCCUUUUUUCUUGAAUGAGUAUCUUGUGGCUAACUCCCCCCCCCCCUCAAAAUAAGGGCUUCAAAAUUAUGGUGUUUCAAUGAUGCUAUUACCUAUCAAUGCCUUACAGGCAAUGGUAAAGUAUGCAAAUUCACUGUCUGCCAAGAGUGAAUGUGUUAAAGAACCUUGUCUUUUUGAGGAAGGAAAAAAGAAGGAAUACUGUCACAGGAUUCUGCUCAUUUUGCUCAAGUCUGAACACUUAUAAAACUGCUAUUCCAAAACUCAGUAACAUUACAUGUUAAUUGUAGACCAUUAAUAUGUAAUUCAAAUUUGACCUUACUCAAUAUUCAUUGUACUCUGUCAUUGUUCACAGAAAAGAAAGACAAAAAAUGUCUAAUAUAAACUGUACUAUGGGAAUCUUAUUUUCUAAUACUUUUAUCAUGAAAAUGAUGUUUUUACCUAAAUGUAGUUGAGAUCCAUUCGCAGUUUUCAUGUCUAGUUAUACUGUUGCAUCAUUUGAUAUUAUGAAUAGUUUUAUUUCCUCACAAUGUUAUUAACAAAUUAUCUUACAUUAUAGCUGCUCAAGAAUCAAAAACACUUAAAACGAGACCAAGGUCCAGGUCUUACUCUAGCACAUCUGUUGAAGAUACAACGAACAAAGGGGGAGAACCACCAGCUCUUCCACCAAGACCUCAAAAAUCACAUUCCAGAGCUUCCUCUUUAGACUUAAAUAAAAUUUUCCAGCAAAACACUCAAGUUAGAUCAGGCUGGAUACCACCACCACCUGCUCUACCUCCCAGGCCCUUUGUAUCACAGAUUUCUCUUCCUGUUAUAAGUACUGAGCCAAGCACUCAACCCAAAUCAAGCUAUAUGAACUUCAGUCUUCAGGAACAGAUAGAACAAGACUAUGAAAUAAACUCACAUUUGCCAGUGAAUAUUUCUCCAUCACCAGAAAACAACCCAGCAAAAAAGGACCUUGUACUUUCUCAGCUAUCAUCAAAGACAAUUCACAGGAAAUUCCAACCUGAAAGCCACAUGCUGGAGAACCAGGAACUUUCCCCAAAGAAAAGUGCAACUGCUUCUUCCUUACCUACCAUCAAACCUCACCAUGCAUUUCCAAAACAGUCUUCAAAACAGAAGAAAGCUGUUCAGACUGCUAUUCGUAAAAACAAAGAAGCUAAUGCAGUGUUAGUUCGGUUGAAUAGCGAACUCCAGCAACAAUUGAAGGAAGUUCACAGGGAACGAAUUGCACUGGAAACUCAAUUGGAGCAACACCGACCUAAAUAUGAUGCAAUAACAUGUACAUCCCUGUGUAUAUGAAGUGUUUUGGCACCCAGAAUAUAUGAAUAGAAAUAUUAGUGCAUUGGAAAUUAAAGGAGACAAUGCUUUAUCCAAAUAUGAUCUGAAUGUCUGAAGCAAUGUCAUUCUUCUCUUUUCAAAGGAGGAACAGCUGAGCCCUUGAAAUUACCUAUUCAAUAGUUAGCAGCUGGAUAUUAGGCUAAGCUGGCCCAUAUUGAGUCAGUGGUUAUACCACUAUUGUAUUUUUAAUAUAAAUUAUUUUUGCUAUAUUUUCACAUUUAUUAACACUCAUGCAUUUAGGUUUUAAAUAAACUUAUAAAAUGAUUCUACAGUUUUAUUUUCUAUAGCUAGACCAGACAGAAGAAACAGUAGACUCUGUGCAACAAUGAUAGAGUAACACACUGUGCUGAAUUGCAAUGUAUUUUGGUUUUGGCAUAGCCUGCUUUGUAAAUCUGAUUACUGCAGCCUGUAAACUUGGUUUAUGACUGAACAUGUUGAGUAAAGCUAGCCUGCAGCAUCAUAUUAAACAAAUAAUAACUUAC